CCUUCACUCUAAGCUUUUCCUCCUCCAACACCUCAUAGCUCUCCAAAUCCUCAGUAACAUUUGUUCCUUCUGCGGCGUAUGAUGGGCAGCCGGCGUGAGCGAGGCAGCCAGCGGUCAAACGGGGAAGUACUCUCUCUAUUUUUGGCCCCAUGUUUUCCCCUCGACGGAGGCUGAGAGGGAAUGAGGGGGCGGGAGAGGGGAAACUAACCAGUCGCGAUUUGAGGGGUGAGGUGUGGGGGUGUCGGCCGCGCUGGUAGUGGCUUUCUGUCUCUCUCUCUCUUUCUCCUUGAAGCUUUUUUUUACAAUCCCGGCUAUUCCGUCCUCGCAUCUUAGGUUCCUUUCCCGGCGCGGUGUGGAGGGAGGACACAGGAUUCCACACUUGAGGUGAGCGAGGCCGUCACCUGAGGCUGCCAGACGCCCAGCCGAGUGCCAGGUGCCGGCGACAGGUAUGUGAGAGUGUCCACCUGCAUCACUACCCAAACUGGCGACUAAAGGUAAAAAAAAAAAAAAAAAAAUGAAAAGAAAAAAAAAAAAAGGCGGGAACGGAAUGGAAGGAGGAACGAAAAAUAGAAGUGAAGAAAAUGAUUGAAAAAAAGGAAAUUAAAGCAAAAGAAGAAUAAAGAAGGAAACAGGAGGGAAAGAGUAACCUUUAGGGAUGAAGGAAGGAAAGGUGAGAGCAGGAGCAGACAUGGGGAGAGAAGAAUAAAGACGGAAAAACGGAGGUGGCAAAGAGG